rnacentral:lncRNA from 1 species
CUGUUCCCCAUCCGCCCCCAGCUGUGACAGCUAGGCCUUUGAAAAUUUGGCACAUCUCAGAUGUCCCUGUCAUCCUAUUUUGAUUGUGCCCUUGAUUCUGACACCUGCUCCCAGGAUUAAAGACACAGAGAGGAAACCUCACCUAGAGGGUUUUGCUCUCCUGAGCAGAGGGCAGUGAGCCUGAGUCCUUGCUGAGUCUAAAUCCCUCCUGAUGUCCACACCCUUCCACACUAAGAUGUGCCUUUCCCACUGGGACACGGUCUUCUGGUCACUGGGUCAUGUCUUCUUUAGCUCUGGGCCAUGAGCUCUUCCUUUUCCUAUCUGUGCUCAGCUCAGUGCCUCCCUCUGUCUUACUUCCUGUAGACCCUGCAUGCCCGGCACGCUUUAUCCUCAGACCACUGAGGGCAUCAGAGAAAGAUCCCAGUCCAUCCUCUCAGUGCUGAGAGCUGAAUCAGUGCCCCUGGCUUUGAGUAUCUCAGGCAGGGUAAGGGCAGUUCUCUCUCGUGGAGGCCUGCAGAUCGCCACCUGCCCCGCAGUGGGAAGGAAAGAUGAGAGGUGAGAGCUCCAGGUAGAUUAGGAGGCGAGGGAGAUAGAGUGGGCUUUGGAGAGGAACGGGGGGAUGAACUGGAGAUGCAGAGUGUCAGCAGGCAAUAGCAUUUCUGGGGACCACCGGGCACAGGAUGUGCUGGCCUAUCUUCAACACAAGCAAUGCUGGUACCUGAGGUGUCCUUAACUUUGAGCUGCAACACGGAGGACAAGGCCCAGGAGCAGGAAUGUGGGCUACGCUUUUCUUCAUCAAGCUGAAUCUUGGCACCCUGUGUGUUGUUUGUCCCAACUGCAGUGGGCAGAGACGGAACCAACAUUUCAUGAGCACUGACUGUGGGCUGGGCACUGCUAGGUGCUUUGCGUGUGUUUUGCUUCACAAAGAGAUGCAUCUGUGGGGACAAGGAAAUCCCCUGGGGUCUCCUCUCCCAGCUCCUCUAAACAUCCCUCUCCUCUUAUGUCAUAGAGAACAAAGCUUCACAAGAAAAUGCCCUUAGAAGCUGGGGAAUAAAUCCACCCUGAGCUGCUAAAGUUGGACAUGGAGCCCUCCUUAAGCAGAGGCUUGGAUGAGGCCAGCAGGGAAGAAGGCGGCGUGGGGACUGAGUCAGGACCUCUCUGGAAUGAGAGUCUCCCGACCUACUUUCAGGCAAGGAUCUCCUCUGUUCCAAGUUUAAGAGUUUAAGCAACAAGGUGGGAACAUCACUGUGGCCAUUCCAGGCCACUUGAAGACAGGUUCUGAAGGAAGGCAGAAGGCUUGUAUCUGGCCAGCUGUGUGUGAUCCCUGCAUAUCCUGGUGUUGGAUGAGGCAGACAGACUUCUGGACAUGGGAUUUGAGGCAAGCAUAAAUACCAUCCUGGAGUUUUUGCCAAAGCAGAGGAGAACAGGCCUUUUCUCUGCCACUCAGAAGCAGGAAGUGGAGAACUUGGGGAGAGUGGGACGCCGGAACCCUGUCCAGUCUCAGUGAAGAAGGGUGUGGCAGCCAGCAGUGCCCAGAACACCACUCUCCCCUAGAAAACUACUACAUGGUAUGCAAGGCAGAUGAGAAAUUUAAUCAGCUGCUACAUUUUCUUCGCAGUCAUAAGCAAGAGCAACACCUGGUCUUCUUUAGCACCUGCACCUGUGUGGAAUACUACAGGAAGGCUCUGGAGGUGCUGAUGAAGAGUGUGAAGAUUGUGUGCAUCCAUGGAAAGAUGAAAUACGAUCUUCAUGCAAAUUGAAAAUUGCAAUUGUUCUGCAAAUUGCAAAGUGGAAUUUUAGUGUGCACUGAUGUGGUGGCCCAGGAAUCAAUGUUCCUGAAGUAAACUGGGUUUUGCAGUACAAUCGCCCCUACAAUGCAAGUGCCUUUGUGCAGCACUGUAGCCGCACAGCCCUCAUUGGCCACAGAGGCAGAGCUCUGGUGUUCCUCCCGCCCGUGGAAGAGUCAUACAUCAAUUUCCUUGCAAUUAACCAAAAAUGC